rnacentral:rRNA from 1 species
GAUGAACGCUGGCGGCGUGCCUAAUACAUGCAAGUCGAGCGAACAGACGAGGAGCUUGCUCCUCUGACGUUAGCGGCGGACGGGUGAGUAACACGUGGAUAACCUACCUAUAAGACUGGGAUAACUUCGGGAAACCGGAGCUAAUACCGGAUAAUAUAUUGAACCGCAUGGUUCAAUAGUGAAAGACGGUUUUGCUGUCACUUAUAGAUGGAUCUGCGCCGCAUUAGCUAGUUGGUAAGGUAACGGCUUACCAAGGCAACGAUGCGUAGCCGACCUGAGAGGGUGAUAGGCCACACUGGAACUGAGACACGGUCCAGACUCCUACGGGAGGGCGCAGUAGGGAAUGUUACGCAAUGGGGGAAAGCCUGACGGAGCAACGCCGCGUGAGUGAUGAAGGUCUUCGGAUCGUAAAGCUCUGUUAUUGGGGAAGAACAAAUGUGUAAGUAACUAUGCACGUCUUGACGGUACCUAAUCAGAAAGCCACGGCUAACUACGUG